ACACGAGGGGGAUAAUCCGAAAGAAAUUUGGUCUAAUACCCCAUAAUACCGAUAUAGGCAUCUAUGUUGGUUGAAAGCUUUGGUGGUGUCAGAUGGGCAUGCGUUGUAUUAGCUAGUUGGUGAGGUAACGGCUCACCAAGGCGACGAUACAUAGGGGGACUGAGAGGUUAACCCCCCACACUGGUACUGAGACACGGACCAGACUCCUACGGGAGGCAGCAUG
rnacentral:rRNA from 1 species